UGCUUUUUCAGAUAGUGCAAAAAAAAAAUGCUCUUUUCAGCCCGGAGCUCAUUGUUCAGUAUGAGCUUUGAUUUAUAUUAGAAGGAAUAUU
ensembl:snoRNA